rnacentral:tRNA from 1 species
GGAGAGGUGGCCGAGUGGUUUAAGGCGGCGGUCUUGAAAACCGUUGGCCCGCAAGGGCCCGGGGGUUCGAAUCCCUCCCUCUCCGCCA